GGGGAAGAUUUAGAUAUAUCACUAAAACCAGCACCCAAGUGAUGUGACUCUUCACCAGAGUCCUGCCCACAAGGAGGAUUGUGACAUUUCACUGGACCAGCACCCACUCAGGAAUCAAAUCCGAGUUCGUCUACAGCUGAUUCGGCAGGUACCAGGGCGUCCGCGAUGGUGGUAUUGCUCCAUAUGCCUGAGACCCUAACAAAAGCCUAAUUACAACUCAUAUGCCUGGAGCCAGGACAUGUGCAGGAUGGUGAUGUAACUUUCCUCUCUGGAAUGGGUCCUGCACAAAGGAAUGAUAGUAACAUAUUGCAAAGCCAGACACACAGCCAUGAUGGUCCAAGUUAUAUUGGGAUUCAGCCAAUAGAAGAUAUUUUGCCUGUCAUCCCUAAGCUUAGGACAAUAGGAACAUUGUGACAUUGCUGGACGUAGCAUCUAGGAAAUGUACUCUCCUCUCCUGCCUAGGCCCUGCCCACUAAAGGAAUUGUGACAUACCACUGAGUGCAAAACCUAGACUCUGCCAAGAGAGGGGAUUAUUACAUAUUGCAGAGCCCAGCACCUAGGUGGAGUGACUCUCAUCUUUUUCUUCUACCCCGUAUAUAGCCAGCUUGGUGACCUACUAUUUGAGUCUAUACCCAGGCCCAGACCACAGAUGAAAUUGUGCAAUAUGUGGAACAAACACCUAAACAAUAUAUAACACCUUCCUUGGCUCUGUCUACAAAGGGCACUUUUAUAUAUCACUGGGACCAUCAACCAGGUGAUGUUAAUUAUCUUCCUGAAACCUGUCUACAAAGAGAGUUGUGUCGUAUACCUAGGCCCGUCAUGUAAGUGAUGUCAGUCCCUUCUACUGCCUUGGCCCUGCACUUACAGUGCAUUGUGACACAUAACAAGGUACUGCACACAGACGAUGUGAUUCUCCUUUUUGGGUUCUGCCAAAAGGAAGCAUUGUAAUAAAUCGCUUGGCUCAGUACCAAGGUGAUGUUUCUUUGCUUUUGCCUGGGCCCUGAUAACAGGGAGAUUGUGAUCUAUUGCUGGGCCCAACAAAAAUGUGAGGUCACUCUCCAGCCGUGGUACUUCACAUAAGCGCCAUUGUGACAUGUAUCUAGGCCAAUUGCCUAGGUGAAGUGAGUUUCCUCUCUUGCCAAAGUCCUGCCCACAGAGGGGGUUUUGAUAUGUCACUGAAAUCAGCAUUCAGGUGAUGUGACUCUUCUGCCAGGGUCCUGCGUACUAGGUGGAUUGUGACAUCUCACUGGACCCGCAACCAUGUAGGUCAUGUGACUUUCAUGCCUUCUCACUGGCCACAGGUGAUGUUGUGCCAUAUAACUGAGACCGUAUCAAAAGCCUAAUAACAAGACGUAUGUCUGGAGCCCCGAUAUGCACAGGAUGGUGAUAUAACCCUCUUCUCUGGAAUGGGCCCCACACAAAGGAAGGAUAGUGACAUAUUGCAAGCCCAGGCACACAGGCCCAGAGCACAGUUGAAAUUGUGACAUAUGUACACCAAGCAACCAAGCAAUGUAUAACACCUCAUUUGGCAAUGGAAUCGAGGGCACUUUUACAUAUCACUGAGACCAGCGCCCAGCUGAUGUGAAAUAUUGGCCUGAACCCUGCCUACAAAAGCAUUGUGGCUUUUAUCUAGCUCCAUUACAUAAGUGAUGUGACUUC
rnacentral:lncRNA from 1 species